rnacentral:rRNA from 1 species
GGAAAGGCGCGCGAUACAGGGUGACAGCCCCGUACACAAAAAUGCACAUGCUGUGAGCUCGAUGAGUAGGGCGGGACACGUGGUAUCCUGUCUGAAUAUGGGGGGACCAUCCUCCAAGGCUAAAUACUCCUGACUGACCGAUAGUGAACCAGUACCGUGAGGGAAAGGCGAAAAGAACCCCGGCGAGGGGAGUGAAAAAGAACCUGAAACCGUGUACGUACAAGCAGUGGGAGCACGCUUAGGCGUGUGACUGCGUACCUUUUGUAUAAUGGGUCAGCGACUUAUAUUCUGUAGCAAGGUUAACCGAAUAGGGGAGCCGAAGGGAAACCGAGUCUUAACUGGGCGUUAAGUUGCAGGGUAUAGACCCGAAACCCGGUGAUCUAGCCAUGGGCAGGUUGAAGGUUGGGUAACACUAACUGGAGGACCGAACCGACUAAUGUUGAAAAAUUAGCGGAUGACUUGUGGCUGGGGGUGAAAGGCCAAUCAAACCGGGAGAUAGCUGGUUCUCCCCGAAAGCUAUUUAGGUAGCGCCUCGUGAAUUCAUCUCCGGGGGUAGAGCACUGUUUCGGCAAGGGGGUCAUCCCGACUUACCAACCCGAUGCAAACUGCGAAUACCGGAGAAUGUUAUCACGGGAGACACACGGCGGGUGCUAACGUCCGUCGUGAAGAGGGAAACAACCCAGACCGCCAGCUAAGGUCCCAAAGUCAUGGUUAAGUGGGAAACGAUGUGGGAAGGCCCAGACAGCCAGGAUGUUGGCUUAGAAGCAGCCAUCAUUUAAAGAAAGCGUAAUAGCUCACUGGUCGAGUCGGCCUGCGCGGAAGAUGUAACGGGGCUAAACCAUGCACCGAAGCUGCGGCAGCGACGCUUAUGCGUUGUUGGGUAGGGGAGCGUUCUGUAAGCCUGUGAAGGUGUGCUGUGAGGCAUGCUGGAGGUAUCAGAAGUGCGAAUGCUGACAUAAGUAACGAUAAAGCGGGUGAAAAGCCCGCUCGCCGGAAGACCAAGGGUUCCUGUCCAACGUUAAUCGGGGCAGGGUGAGUCGACCCCUAAGGCGAGGCCGAAAGGCGUAGUCGAUGGGAAACAGGUUAAUAUUCCUG